UACGUAGGGUGCGAGCGUUGUCCGGAAUUAUUGGGCGUAAAGAGCUCGUAGGCGGUCUGUCGCGUCGAUCGUGAAAACUUGGGGCUUAACCCUGAGCUUGCGGUCGAUACGGGCAUGACUGGAGUUCGGCAGGGGAGACUGGAAUUCCUGGUGUAGCGGUGGAAUGCGCAGAUAUCAGGAAGAACACCGACGGCGAAGGCAGCUCGCUGGGACGGUACUGACGCUGAGACGCGAAAGCGUGGGGAGCAAACAGG
rnacentral:rRNA from 1 species